rnacentral:rRNA from 1 species
UACGAAGGGGGCUAGCGUUGUUCGGAAUUACUGGGUUUAAAGGGUCCGUAGGCGGUUUAAUAAGUCAGUGGUGAAAGCCCAUCGCUCAACGGUGGAACGGCCAUUGAUACUGUUAAACUUGAAUUAUUAGGAAGUAACUAGAAUAUGUAGUGUAGCGGUGAAAUGCUUAGAGAUUACAUGGAAUACCAAUUGCGAAGGCAGGUUACUACUAAUGGAUUGACGCUGAUGGACGAAAGCGUGGGUAGCGAACAGG